GAUGAUGUUUCUAGUGAUGACGAGAAUGUCGAUGUGUCCGAUUGAUGUAUUUGUUUUUAAUAAGAUUGAUUUUCAGACUUAAUGCAUGUGAUUUAAUGGAUUUAAUCAUGAAAAACUAUUUAUCUAAUUUGAUUUUGUGUAAGGUAAUGGGGGUUUGUAUUAGAAAUAAGAGAUUGAGAUUAUAAGUUAAGGAAUUGUGGUUUUAGAAUUUGGGGUUUGGAAUGGAAAGAAUAGAUUGAGGUUAAAGGGAAGAUGAGUUUGGGGUUUGGAAUAUAUGAAGUAGAAGAUAAGGAAGAUGGGAUUUGGGGUUUCGGAUUUUAGGGAUUUAAACAUAAUCCUCGUAAUUUCCUCGUUAAUUCCACGUAAGCAGAAAUCGUCGUACAUACCUCGUAACCGGAAAACGCGGACCUUGCUAUUUCCUCGUAAAAUAAAAACAUGGGUCUUGCUAUUUCCUCUCUAAUUUGAUUAGUUUAGGGUAGAUUAGGUGGUUAGUGUAGGGUAUUUAGAUACUGGAAUCUAUUUC
rnacentral:lncRNA from 1 species